rnacentral:lncRNA from 10 species
UGGGCCUGGCCUCUCAGCUGGCCCAGGCCCUUCCUCUGCUCAAGCCCCCGAAGGGUCUCCUGGAGAAAGCCCUGGAGCAGACACCAGCCCUGGCUCGCUGCAGCCUUCGAGCCCCACUCUCUCCUCUGGACCUCAGUUUCGCCAUCCAUCCAAUGGUGACCACUCAGUCACUGCCAGAUCCUGAGCAGAUCCGUCCUGGCCCUGGGGAGUGGACCAUCAGGGGGCAGGGCUGGCCAGUGAGCAGAGAGCUGGCGGUGACAUGGGCUCAGCACAGAGCACCACGUGGGGCCUGGGAGGAGCCAUGAGAGCCGGCAGCCCUGCCUGUCCUCCAGAUGAAAGCGAGGCCCGCAGCCUGAGAGGGAGGGAGGAGACGCUAAUUACGCCCAGCGCGGGGCUCCCCAGGCAGCCUCAGCCACAGGAUCAAACACCGCCUUCCUCAGCCACGCGCCCGCCCUGCCCUGCAGGAGCAGUCACGGAGCUGCGACACCACCAGAGCUGGGACACCACCAGAGCUGCGAGACCACCAGAGCUGUGACACCACCAGAGCCGGGACACCACCAGAGCCGGGACACCACCAGAGCCGGGACACCACCAGAGCUCCGAGACCACCAGAGCUGCCACACCACCAGAGCUGUGACACCACCAGAGCCGUGACACCACCAGAGCCGGGACACCACCAGAGCCGGGACACCACCAGAGCCGCGAGACCACCAGAGCCGUGACACCACCAGAGCCGGGACACCACCAGAGCUGGGACACCACCAGAGCUGCGAGACCACCAGAGCUGGGACACCACCAGAGCUGCCACACCACCAGAGCUGCGACAGCACCAGAGCCGGGACACCAGCAGAGCCGGGACACCACCAGAGCCGCAACACCACCAGAGCUGCGACACCAGCAGAGCCGCGACACCAGCAGAGCCGGGACACCACCAGAGCCGUGACACCAGCAGAGCCGGGACACCACCAGAGCUGCGAGACCACCAGGGCCGGGACACCACCAGGGCCGGGACACCACCAGAGCUGCGAGACCACCAGGGCCGGGACACCACCAGAGCCGGGACACCACCAGAGCUGCGAGACCACCAGGGCCGUGACACCACCAGAGCCGGGACACCACCAGAGCUGGGACACCACCAGAGCUGCGAGACCACCAGAGCUGGGACACCACCAGAGCUGCCACACCACCAGAGCUGCGACACCAGCAGAGCCGCGACACCAGCAGAGCCGGGACACCAGCAGAGCCGGGACACCACCAGAGCCGUGACACCAGCAGAGCCGGGACACCACCAGGGCCGGGACACCAGCAGAGCCGGGACACCACCAGAGCCGUGACACCAGCAGAGCCGGGACACCACCAGGGCCGGGACACCACCAGAGCUGCGAGACCACCAGGGCCGGGACACCACCAGAGCCGGGACACCACCAGAGCUGGGACACCACCAGAGCUGCGAGACCACCAGAGCCGUGACACCACCAGAGCCGUGACACCAGCAGAGCUGGGACACCACCAGAGCUGUGAGACCACCAGAGCCGGGACACCACCAGAGCCGGGACACCACCAGAGCUGCGAGACCACCAGAGCCGUGACACCAGCAGAGCCGGGACACCACCAGAGCCGGGACACCACCAGAGCCGGGACACCACCAGAGCUCCGAGACCACCAGAGCUGCCACACCACCAGAGCUGUGACACCACCAGAGCUGUGACACCACCAGAGCCGGGACACCACCAGAGCCGGGACACCACCAGAGCUGCGAGACCACCAGAGCUGGGACACCACCAGAGCUGGGACACCACCAGAGCCGGGACACCACCAGAGCUCCGAGACCACCAGAGCUGCCACACCACCAGAGCUGUGACACCACCAGAGCCGGGACACCACCAGAGCCGGGACACCACCAGAGCCGGGACACCACCAGAGCUGUGACACUGUGGCUUCAGUAAAGCUGUUUCUUCUACCACUGGCUUGCCCUUGCAUUCUUUCCUGGGUGAAGCCAAAAACCCAGAGGGCUAAACUCCACUUUCGGGCUCGCCUGCCUGCAUCAUAACCAUCAGGCCUGGAGAGCCGGGUCUCUUGAGAGUAAACUGCCGUGAGAUUCUACAGGAACUCUGCCUCUCCUCUGGGCUGAGCUGUUCUGCCUCAGUUUCCUCACUAACAAAAUGGGGUGACAUCUUGAGGUGGCCCCUCUCGGUGCUGCCAGCCUCUCUG